AUAAUAUAUAUUUAUUGCAUUUCAAUACGUGACAUGCAGCAUAAAACAUGUACAGUUUAAAAGCAGCAGACAAUCAUAAUACUUGAAGUCCAACAUGAACAAAACUUUUUAUCACAAAUGCACAGAAAGCAUCCAUGAAAGCAAUCACCAGUUAAGGUCUAAGAUAUUGUACUCUCACACAGUGAAACAUGGACAGUAUAGCAGGUCUAAGGUAUUGUACUCUCACACAGUGAAACAUGGACAGUAUAGCAGGUCUAAGGUAUUGUACUCUCACACAGUGAAACAUGGACAGUAUAGCAGGUCUAAGGUAUUGUACUCUCACACAGUGAAACAUGGACAGUAUAACAGGUCUAAGGUAUUGUACUCUCACACAGUGAAACAUGGACAGUAUAGCAGGUCUAAGGUAUUGUACUCUCACACAGUGAAACAUGGACAGUAUAGCAGGUCUAAGAUAUUGUACUCUCACACAGUGAAACAUGGACAGUAUAGCAG